rnacentral:rRNA from 1 species
GACGAACGCUGGCGGCGUGCUUAACACAUGCAAGUCGAACGGAAAGGCCCUGCUUUUGUGGGGUGCUCGAGUGGCGAACGGGUGAGUAACACGUGAGUAACCUGCCCUUGACUUUGGGAUAACUUCAGGAAACUGGGGCUAAUACCGGAUAGUAGCUCCUGCUGCAUGGUGGGGGUUGGAAAGUUUCGGCGGUUGGGGAUGGACUCGCGGCUUAUCAGCUUGUUGGUGGGGUAGUGGCUCACCACGGCUUUGACGGGUAGCCGGCCUGAGAGGGUGACCGGCCACAUUGGGACUGAGAUACGGCACAGACUCCUACGGGAGGCAGGAGUGGGGAAUAUUGCACAAUGGGCGGAAGCCGGAUGCAGCAACGCCGCGUGCGGGAUGACGGCCUUCGGGUUGUAAACCGCUUUCGCCUGUGACGAAGCGUGAGUGACGGUAAUGGGUAAAGAAGCACCGGCUAACUACGUG